UUUUUUUUCUAGAACGCUUUAAGUUUGAUUAGGUGUCUCGCGUACAUUAUUUCAAUAACAGUAUUUUGAUGUCAUAAUAUUCAUGUAUCCAGAGAUUUGUUUUAAUACAGAUAUUUAGCCUAAUAUUACAAGCUUUGUAUGUUAUGAGGAAAAAUAAAAAAAAAUUUCUUCGUUUACGAAAACAUUUUCAUAAUUACUUGAAAGCUUUUUUCUCAUGCUUGGAAAGAGCUUAUUUCUCAAAGUUUACAAAGAUAGCUUACUAUACAUUUUAUUACUUUAAGGCAGAAACAUUAAUACACCGCAACCCCGAGUAAACCCAUAUUGUUCAACUUCCGUGGCACUUCCGAAAUCGUCCUAUUAAUUAUGUCGAUCAUGGACCACCAGUUACCUUUACGUUAAACAAAUCGUGAUUUUUAACAUUUCAUCAUUUUCAUUGCAAUUGUAUUGAAAGCAUUCCUUUUCAUUGUGUACCGGAAAUGUAAUUCUCUUUGCCUCGUAGCAGGUCUGGAACAUCCUCUUCCUCUACAACAUUAUAUACAUUAUUGAAUUAUGUUUCGUUUUUCUCAUUUUGUUUCACGUUUUGAUCAUCUAAUUAUGGUAUCAAGAUAUUCGAAAGGGAAGUGAUCAUAAGCGUUAAACAUGUAUUGUAGAUGUACAUUUCUGCCAUUUUCAAGGAACUUUCUAGUGCGUGUAUCUAUGUAAAGUUUCCUGUAUAUGUUGUGACGUCUAUCAUUUCACUUGUUAAGAAAGAAUAUGCAUAGUUUUACAAGUUUUAUAGUUGUAUUGCAAUGUUAUUAAACAGUCACGUUAUUGAAGUUUGCGCUGUUUAGUUGCAUUAAAAAUGAAAUUUUGCAAUUAAAUGUCUAAUGCUU
rnacentral:misc_RNA from 1 species